UACGGAGGGUGCAAGCGUUAUCCGGAUUCACUGGGUUUAAAGGGUGCGUAGGCGGGCAGGUAAGUCCGUGGUGAAAUCUCUGAGCUUAACUCAGAAACUGCCAUUGAUACUAUCAAUCUUGAAUACCGUGGAGGUCAGCGGAAUAUGUCAUGUAGCGGUGAAAUGCUUAGAUAUGACAUAGAACACCAAUUGCGAAGGCAGCUGGCUACACGAAUAUUGACACUGAUGCACGAAAGCGUGGGGAGCAAACAGG
rnacentral:rRNA from 1 species